CAAAAACAUAGCUGUAUGAGGUUUAGAUACAGUUUUUUCUGCUCAAUGAGAUAUUUAAUAGCCGCAGUACCCUGACUGUGCUAAGGUAGCAAAAUCAAUUGUCUUCUAAUUAAAGUCGUGUAUGAAUGAAUAUAUGGGGGCAAGCUUUACCGUGCAUAUUAUACAAACUUACUAAUUGAGUGUAAAUUCUCUUACGUUUUCAAUAGACGAGGAGACCCUAGAAAUUUUUUUACAUGUUUUUGUUGGGGCAACAUAGUAGCAUUUAACCUACAUUAUGUAUAUGAAAUUUUUUUGAUAACUAAAAUUACUCUAGGGAUAACAGCAUCAUAUUAAAAUGUUUGUGACCUCGAUGUUGGAUUAGGAAGGUAUGGCUUAGAAGGCUGCUACUUGUGCUCUGUUCGAGCA
rnacentral:rRNA from 1 species